rnacentral:lncRNA from 1 species
GUGUCCCUACUUUUUUUCUGUUUAGUCCAUGAAAUCAAACGGAUAGGGACUCAGGACUUUUUAGUUGGGACUAAAAAAAUCCUGAAACCUCUGAAACAAACAGGGCCUAAAUGCCCAUAGCAUUUUGUCGGGCACCUUAUGUGCAUGGCAGAAAUUGGCAAUGCCUCCAAGCCUGCAUUAGGACUAGCCUAGACCUCACCCAACUAAACCAGCAUGUCCUAGACCUCCACCAACACUCUUUUAAC